AAAAUUUAACUACAGCAUACACAGAAUUACAUUGCUAAAACAAAAAUAUAAGUUUUAUUUUAUUGUCAACUGUCGAUGUAUUGGCUAAUCAUUGUUUUGAAGGCUGAUUGGCUGAAUUAGAAUUCGCUCUUGUUCAGCUGUCAACAAUUCUCCAACGUUAUUGAAUAAUUAUUACAUAAUUAGAAAUAAUUAGCUAAGUACCAACUGAUAUUAAGUCUUUUUUCUGCUCUGGAAAGAUAACCUGAAACUUUCCCGACUUUAUAUAUAAUAAUAAAUCAUCUUGUAUAAAUAUAUAGAAUAACCAUGUAGUCUAUAAAAACUGAAGAAUUCGAUAAAAAGACAUUAUAAUGGAAUAAAAGACUCAAUUAGGGAUAGAAAUAGUAAACAAAAAGACAACUGUACCUUUGAACCUUUUAUUGAAGUCUACAUUCUUUCUAAA
rnacentral:lncRNA from 1 species